AGCGGGGCUUCGGAGGAAGGAGGGGCUGGGAAACGGAGCGCCUUCACUUUCGGAACCAGAGAGCUGACGGAAGGAGCGGUUCCCUUCGGAGGCGGAGAAACCGGAAGAGGACGGAGGAGCCCGGCGGGGGAGGGAAGGAAGGAAGCGCCGCCCGAGAGGAGGAGAGCGGGCCCCGCGGAGCAGCCCCGGGAGACGGCAGGGAAAGGCCGGGGUCCUCCGGAGCUGCAGGAGGGAUGAGCCCAGGGGGAGCCCGGGAAAGGCGGCUGUCUGGAGGGCGAUGCGGGGAGGAGGAAACGGGGGGAGACGCCGAGACGGGCCUGGAGGGCGGAGGGUCCUUCGGAAGACCCCGGAAUCCCCAAAGGAUCCAGGAGGAAGAAGAGAGAUAUCAGUGCCCGGAAU